AUAAGAACCCAGGGGAGCUCGCGGGCAAGCGGGCUGAGAUGGCGUUCCACGCAAACCCGGCGCCGACCCUUAGAACCUGUCGCGGUAAUGCGCGCGGAGGGAGCAUGCGAACCACUUCC
rnacentral:ncRNA from 2 species